GAUGAACGCUGGCGGCGUGCCUAAUACAUGCAAGUCGAGCGAACAGACGAGGAGCUUGCUCCUCUGACGUUAGCGGCGGACGGGUGAGUAACACGUGGAUAACCUACCUAUAAGACUGGGAUAACUUCGGGAAACCGGAGCUAAUACCGGAUAAUAUAUUGAACCGCAUGGUUCAAUAGUGAAAGACGGUUUUGCUGUCACUUAUAGAUGGAUCCGCGCCGCAUUAGCUAGUUGGUAAGGUAACGGCUUACCAAGGCAACGAUGCGUAGCCGACCUGAGAGGGUGAUCGGCCACACUGGAACUGAGACACGGUCCAGACUCCUACGGGAGGCAGCAGUGGGGAAUCUUCCGCAAUGGGCGAAAGCCUGACGGAGCAACGCCGCGGGAGUGAUGAAGGUCUUCGGAUCGUAAAACUCUGUUAUUAGGGAAGAACAAAUGUGUAAGUAACUAUGCACGUCUUGACGGUACCUAAUCAGAAAGCCACGGCUAACUACGU
rnacentral:rRNA from 1 species